rnacentral:rRNA from 1 species
CCUACGGGAGGCAGCAGUGGGGAAUAUUGGACAAUGGGGGAAACCCUGAUCCAGCAAUGCCGCGUGAGUGAUGAAGGCCUUAGGGUUGUAAAGCUCUUUCGGCGGGGACGAUGAUGACGGUACCCGCAGAAGAAGCCCCGGCUAACUUCGUGCCAGCAGCCGCGGUAAGACGAAGGGGGCUAGCGUUGUUCGGAAUUACUGGGCGUAAAGCGCACGUAGGCGGCCUUUCAAGUCAGAUGUGAAAGCCCCGGGCUUAACUCGGGAACUGCAUUUGAUACUGUUGGGCUUGAGACCGGGAGAGGAUAGCGGAAUUCCCAGUGUAGAGGUGAAAUUCGUAGAUAUUGGGAAGAACACCAGUGGCGAAGGCGGCUAUCUGGACCGGUACUGACGCUGAGGUGCGAAAGCGUGGGGAGCAAACAGGAUUAGAUACCCCUGUAGUC